ACACGUCAUCCAUCCUGCCAGCGGCGGCAUUGCCUGCCGUUUGGCCAAAGUCCUCGGCCACCUCCCCUCGUCGGAGAGGGGGCUGGGGUAAAAGAACCCACGGCGCCGAUGGCGUCAAGGAACACUGUGCCUAACUCGGGAGCACGGCUGGCUUGCUGGCCGUCCCUCGUGUUGCGAUGCUAUUUAAUCUACACGACUCUCGGCAACGGAUAUCUCGGCUCUCGCAUCGAUGAAGAACGUAGCGAAAUGCGAUACCUGGUGUGAAUUGCAGAAUCCCGCGAACCAUCGAGUCUUUGAACGCAAGUUGCGCCCGAGGCCUCUUGGCCGAGGGCACGCCUGCCUGGGCGUCACGCCAAAACACGCUCCUACUCCACCUCAUUGGGGAGCAGGAUGCGGCGUCUGGCCUCCCGUACCGUAAGGCGCGGUGGGCCGAAGAUUGGGCUGCCGGCGUAUCAUGUCGGGCACAGCGCGUGGUGGGAAGCUUGCUUCUACUCAACGCAGUGCAUCCAACGCGUAGCCGGCGCAGCUGCCCCUAAGGACCCAAUGAACGGAGCGCACGACGCUUCGACCGCGACCCCAGGUCAGGCGGGACUACCCGCUGAGUUUAAGCAUAUAAAUAAGC
rnacentral:rRNA from 1 species